ACAUAAACUUUUGAAUUCGCCACAAACUAUUGGGCAGGAAAUUUUACCGCUUAAUGAAAUUUAAUAUGCGAUGAAUCUUUAAAAUUCAUCACAUAACAAAAAAAAGGCCACGUUAUGCCAUUCGUCACAUAUAGUAUUAAAAUAAAAAAUAAAAAUAUACCGAAGAAAUAAUAUCAAAACCCUAAAGUGUAAAACCUAUUUCACUUAGUUGUCUGUUCUCACCCAUUCCAGCCGUCUUCAGCUCCUCUUUGCUUACUGUCUCACCCUAACUCCGACGACCAACCACUGGUGGUUGCCAGUGACGGCGACAAUCACUCUCCUUCGUCUUCCUUUUUCUGCCACUCUCUCAGUAUCAUCUGUUGCUCGUUCUCUAACUCUCUUCUCUCUCUAACAUAACAGGACCCGAAUUGGGGAAAGAGAGAUUCGGUUUUCUAUCGAGUUCGUCAGGCGACAACAAGGUACUGGCCUCCAGCAGUCCUUUGCUUGCACAUCCGCACUCUGCAGCCUCUAAUUUGGUGCCAAUGGAGACAAAGUUGUGUUAGUUGGAAUUUGAAAAGCCAGAAACAGCUGACCGCAAAAGCAUAUUCGUGUGUAUGCUCUAUUCGUCUGUCGUCAACUAUGUCUACUGGUAUAUAUAUGGCAAGAUACUUAACAAAAAGUGACUCAAGGCAUCUCGAUGACAGUAGAUAGCCAAAAUGGCUCAAUCAGAGUAGAUAGCCAAAAAACAGCUAGCCAAAGUGGUACUCAAGCUUCAUAUCUUGGUCUACAAAAAAAUGUUGUUAGCUCUAUCACCGUCUAUUACCGAGAGAAAUUUGUUAUUGUGACUAGAACACGAGUGUUACAUCACGUGUUUUUAUAUAAGUGAUAGAAAAUUUUAAUA